rnacentral:rRNA from 1 species
UCGUUGCUACCGAUGGCAUGGGGAUAGAGGGCUGAGGAGGUUGUGGGUGCGUUCGCGUGCCUGCGUGCCAAAUCCGUCCAAUGUUCCCGUGCUAGAGAUAGCAA